rnacentral:lncRNA from 1 species
UUUUUUUUUUUUUUUUUUUUUUAAUGGCAACACCAGAUCCCUUGAGUGAGGCUAGAAAUCCAACCCACAUACCUCAUGGAUACUAGUCAGAUUGAUUACCGCUAAGCCACAAUGGGAAGUUCAGUUUAGCUUUAUUUUGAAACCAAAUUUAUGGUUAUCAAAGGGGAAAUGUGGGUAAGAGGGAUAAAUUAGGGGGUUGGGAUUGACAAAUACACACCACUAACUAUAAAAUAGGUAGGAGUUCCCACUGUGACACAACAGGAUCAGGUUAUCUCUGCAGUUCUAGGAUGCAGGCUCUAUCCCCAGCCUGGCACAGUGGGUUAAGGAUCCAGCAUUGCCGAAGCUGGAGCAUUGGUCAAGAGUUCCGGCUUGGGUAUGAUCCCUGGCCCAGGAACUCCAUGUGCUAUGGAGUGGCCAGAAAAGAAAAAAUCAAAUCAAAUAGUUAAGAUAGGUCUUGUUACCUACUGUAUAUCACAGGGUAACUUACUCAAUACUGUGUAAUAACAUAUAUGGGAAAAGAAUCUGAAAAAGAAUGGAUAUAUGUAUAUGUAUAACUGAUUUAGUUUCUGUACACCUGAAACUAACACAACUUUUAAGUCAACCAUACGCCAGUAAAAUCUGUUAAAAACAAAAGCAAGGAGUUCCCGUAAUGGCUCAGUGGAAAUGAGUCUGACUAGUAUCCAUGAGGGCGCAGGUUCGAUCCCUGGCCUCGCUCAGCGGGUUAAGGAUCCAGAGUUGCUGUGAGCUGUGGUGUAGGUGGCAGACACGGCUUGGAUCCCAGGUUGCUGUGGCUGUGAUGUAGGCCAGCGGCUACAGCUUCAGUUCGACCCCUGGCCUGGGAACCUCCAUAUGCCGAGGGUGAGGCCCUAAAAAAAAAAAAGAACAUAAGAUGGGAGUCCCCUGGUGGCCUAGCAUGUUAAGGGUCUGGCAUUAACCUUGCUUGGCUCAGGUUGCUGCUGUGGCACAAGGUGUUUGUUUGUUUUUGCUUUUUAGGGCCACACCUGCAGCAUUUGGAAGUUCCCAGGCUAGGGGUCAAAUCAGAGCUACAGCUGCAGGCCUAUGCCACAGCCAGAGCUAUGCCAGAUUCAAGCCCUGUCUGCAAGCUACACCAAAGCUCAUGGCAAUGCUGGAUCCUUGACCCACUGAAAGACGCCAGCCAUUGAACCCAAAUCUUCAUGGACACUAGUUGGGUUCAUUACUGCUGAGUCACAAUAGCAACCUCCUACGGUGAAGGUUUGAUCCCUGGACUGGGAACUUCCACAUGCCAUGCCAGCAGCCCAAAAAUAAAACAAAACACCAAGAUGGACACGUGGUAUUUCAAAAAUUCCUCUGUCCAGAAUUUAGUCCACAGCCUUCAUAAGAUGACAUAUCAGGGCAAAUCUUAAAAAUCUUCUCCACAAAUAUUAGUAAAAAACUUUAACUCUCACUAGGCAAGUAAUCUUUUUUGUUCUAUCUGCCAGAAACACAAUUCAGAGUCUACAAUCUUAUAGAAACAGAUAAUUUUUUAUUAGUUUUACUGACUCAUGACUAAAAUAUUAGAAAGAUACUGUAUCUAUUUCUCUGUAUGAUUAUGUAUGUCUUUUAUUAUGGGGGUGGUAAUCAAUCAAGAACCUAGGAUAGCAAAAAAAUUAUUUUUUCUCCCAUAUAUGUGCAAUACAAUACUAUUCAAAAAUAGAAAGGAAUAAACCAUCGACUCAUGGAAAAACAUGGAUGAAUCUUACAUGUAUAUUGCUAAGUGAAGGAAUUCAGUUGGAGAAGGCUACACACUGUAUGAUUCCAUUUAUAUGACAUUCCAGAACAGGUAAAUCAGAGAUGAUAAACAGGUUAUGGGAAGUAGUCCAUGUGAUAUUUUAGUGAUGGAUGAUACCUGCCACUAUGCAUUAGUCUAAACCCAUUGAUUUUUACAACCCAAUAAAUAAAUCAUAAUAUAUUCAAAUUUAGCUAUUUAGGUUAUGGGAGUGUCAUAGGGUGAAAUAGAGAAAGUAAUAAAGAAUCUAACUAACGUAGAAAUGUAGGAAGAAUGUAUGAGAGGAGUUCCCGUUGUGGCUCAGGGGGUAAGAACCUGACUAGUAUCCACAAGGAUGUGGAUCUGAUCCCUAGCCUAGCUCAGUGGGUUAAGGAUCCAGCAUUGCUGUGAACUUCGGCACAGGUUGCAGACCUGGCUCAGAUCUGGCAUUGCUGUGGCUGCUGUGUAGGCCAGCAGCUGCAGCUCCAAAUCGACCCCUAGUCUGGGAACUUCCAUAUGCCACAGGUGUGGGCCUAAAAGGCAAAAAAAAAUUUUCUAAUUUUUAAAAAUGUAUGAGGGCAGGUUUUGCUUAAACCUAACCCUAACCUUAACCCCCUCACCUAUAACCCUCAGGAGCCAUGCUUGGCUUCCUAAAGAUAAAAUGAGAAAGAAACCUAGCCAGGCAGGGUUACUGGAGGACUGUGUAAGAUGACAUGUGUAAAACACAGAGCACAGAACUACUCACAAGCAGCCACUCAACUAACAUCACCUUCCUGCCUCCAAACUUCACAGCCUUGGUGAGUAAACCCAACAUUUGCAGGCAUCAACUCCAGGUGUGUCGGGACCCAGGUAGGUCAGGAGGCUAGAGGGGCAAAGGAUCAGCUCUUCAUUUUUAUUAGGAUCAGUCUUGAUGAUGCUGUUCAUGGGUCCCUCCCCACCCCUCAGCCCAUUGCUGGGCACCUGUCUAAUGAGCUCUCCUCCCCAUCUCAGUCCUUUGUUGGUAGGGACUCUGAGCUCAUAGGAGGGAGACACUUAAGCCAGGUCUGCUGCCUGAAGCUGGUGGUGUCUCUAGAAUAUUCCACUUCUGUAUUCCCACUGACUGUGCUUUCUCCACUGAGAAGCUGGCUGCACAGGAGUCAGGGAGCCCAGGAGUGGGCCUGAGGCCCACAGCACCCGCUGCCCUCUGGGUCCUGACCCUCACCUCAGUGCCUACCAGGGAAGGCUUUUCUCUCCCCUGGGGGCAUCCAAAUCACAGAAUUGGAAGCACCAAGGUGAGUUAGAGAUUCCCCUUGGGAAUAGUCCCUCUUCUGUCCAGGAAUUCUGAAGCCCUGGAAAGAACCUUGGACUGGGAGUCAGAGAGCCUGAGUCACAUUCCAGUCCAGGCUACACCACUGCCCCAGCCCCCUCCAUGGCCCAGCUCAAUAGCUGAGUGAAGGCAGCUUAGAGGGUCCCUGGAGCAGCCCCCUAACCUUUUCAUACACCCAGACCCUUGCACCUCAUGCCAGUGUCCCUCAGGCUGGAUCUGCUUGCAAUGGAGCCUGGGGGAGAGAUGGCUCAAGGGCUCCACCUAGUGGCCAGUCACAGCUAAACAUCAGUCCACAUAGCAGCUUCUAGUGUUCGUAAAAAUCACAGCAGCAGAAGUCACAACCCUGAAACUGCCCCCAGGGGCAGGAGAGAACCUUGAGAGGUCAAGCUGCACCUCUUCGCCAUAGCAGACCAGGUUCCCAGGGGUCAAUGGUGCAAAUGGGAGGCAUCGCCAGUGUAAAUCCCUCUGAGUGAAAAGCACUACAAUUUGGGGUCAGAUAGGCCUGGUAUCUGAAUCCCAUGGAUUCUUUUUUCAUUUGUUUUGUCUUUUUAGGGCUGCACCCAUGGCAUAUGGAGGUUCCCAGACCAGGAGUCAAAGCGAAGCUGUAGCCGCUGGCCUACCCCACAGCCACAGUAGCGAAGGAUCCUAGCCACACCUGAGACCUACACCACAGCUCAUGGCAAUGCUGGAUCCUUGACCCACAAAGCAGGGCCACGGAUAAAACCUGCAACCUCAUGGUUCCUAGUCAGAUUCGUUUCCGCUGCGCCACAACAGAAACUCCAUCCCUUGGAUUCUUAACCUCACCUCCAGCCCCUCAUCCAUGAAGUGGGCUAUUGAGGACAUGUCCUACAGGGCUGUGGCCCCCUCUCUGCAUGAACAGGAAGCCAAGGGAGAUGCAGGGGCGAGAAACCCCCCUGGUGGUUCUCAACCCUUAGGCCAGUGGCUCAACCUUGACUGAAUAUCACAAUUGCCUGAUGCUCAGGCAGUGCUUCUCAAAGCAUGGUCCCUGGGCCAGCAGCAGAACAUCAACGGGGAACUUGUGGAGAAUUCUUGGGUACCACCCCAGACCUGUUGAAUCAGAAACUCUAGGAUGGGGCUCAGCAGCCUCCAGGGAUGCUGAAGUCUGGUCCAACAUGAGGAGACUAUGCUUAGGUACUGGGGAUGCUGAAAAAGCUCCUCAGGCAAUUCCAAAGUCUUAGGCAUCAAAUUUUCCUGUGAAGGUCAAAAUACUAACAGGUACCUGCCCUGCCCCCAGUCCUCUACCCCAAGGAAUCUUCAGGGGAGUGAAGCCAGACCCAAGUACAGAUUCAAAGAACAACUUUGCAGCUGACUGUGAUGCACAAUCACUGCUCUGGUUAGGACCCUUCACAUGUAUUCUGCUUGCCCUUCCUUCAGAGGUGGGGCCCUGCAGUAGAGGACAGCUGCUCUCUUAGAUCAGCAGGUGGUGCAGAGAACAAUCACCAGUGAUGGACAUUUGGUGGCUGUUUGAGCUAUGACAGGCAUGGUGCUGGAUGCUUUGUAUGUAACAUCUCACAAGAACACUGUGAAUUGUUACAAUUCUCUGUUUUCCAGAUGGAGAAACUGAAGCACAGAGAGGUUAAGUAACUUGCCGUAGGUCACACAGCUACCAAAUGGCAGAACCAGGAUUCCAACCUAGAUCCUUUAGACUCCAGAGUCCACUACCUUUGCUUUCUUGUUUUACUAAUAAGAGGUAGGAGGACUUGCUGGAGGCCACCAGGUGUAGUGACCAUCACAUCCCUUGUCCCUUUGCCUUGAAGCUUACCAGUGCUGUGACACCAAUUUCAAAAUGAGAUGCUACCAGAGUUCCAGUCUUGGCUCAGUGGUUAAUGAAUCUGACUAGGAACCAUGAGGUUGCAGGUUCGAUCCCUGGCCUUGCUCAGUGGGUUGAGGAUCCGGUGUUGCCAUGAGCUGUGGUGUAGGUUGCAGACACGGCUUGGAUCCCGAGUUGCUGUGGCUCUGGCAUAGGCCAGCGGCUACAGCUCCGAUUCUACCCCUAGCCUGGGAACCUCCAUAUGCUGCGGGAGCAGCCCAAGAAAUGGCAAAAAGAC